AAAGAAAUGGGUCCUAGACCCCCACACACGCCACUCGGUAAAGAAUCGGGCCUAUAGCUCAGCUGGCUAGAGCACACGACUGAUAAUCGUGAGGUCAGUGGUUCGAGUCCACUUGGGCCCACCAAAUGGGGCUGUAGCUCAGCUGGGAGAGCACCUGCUUUGCAAGCAGGGGGUCACCGGUUCGAUCCCGGUCAGCUCCACCAAAGGGAAGAGGCCCGCGCGAAGCGGGUCGGACGCUGGGGUGGAGAAGUAGGCGGCAGGAAGCGGUUAAGAGGUAACAGGAAGUAGAGAGUAGGAAAGUAAUUAAAGAGUCCGUAGUAGUGAGUUUCUGAAUAAAGAAGCUGAGUACUACCGAUUCGCAGUAUGGAAGCGGUAUUGUUCUUUGACAGUUGAGGAAGGGAAGGCCAUGUUUGUCAUCUUGCCGAUGGCAGACCUCCAGGUGGAUGCUUGGGGAUAUAU
rnacentral:misc_RNA from 1 species